UACGUAGGGUGCGAGCGUUAAUCGGAAUUACUGGGCGUAAAGCGUGCGCAGGCGGUUCGUUGUGUCCGUCGUGAAAGCCCCGGGCUUAACCUGGGAACUGCGAUGGAAACUAGCGAGCUGGAGUGUGGCAGAGGGGGGUGGAAUUCCGCGUGUAGCAGUGAAAUGCGUAGAGAUGCGGAGGAACACCGAUGGCGAAGGCAGCCCCCUGGGCUAACACUGACGCUCAGGCACGGAAGCGUGGGGAGCAAACAGG
rnacentral:rRNA from 1 species